rnacentral:rRNA from 1 species
GACGAACGCUGGCGGCGUGCCUAACACAUGCAAGUCGAGCGAGUUAAUCUCCUUCGGGAGUGGAACUAGCGGCGGACGGGUGAGUAACACGUGGGCAACCUACCUCAUAGAGGGGAAUAGCCUUCCGAAAGGAAGAUUAAUACCGCAUAAGAUUGUAGCUUCGCAUGAAGUAGCAAUUAAAGGAGCAAUCCGCUAUGAGAUGGGCCCGCGGCGCAUUAGCUAGUUGGUGAGGUAACGGCUCACCAAGGCGACGAUGCGUAGCCGACCUGAGAGGGUGAUCGGCCACAUUGGGACUGAGACACGGCCCAGACUCCUACGGGAGGCAGCAGUGGGGAAUAUUGCACAAUGGGGGAAACCCUGAUGCAGCAACGCCGCGUGAGUGAUGACGGCCUUCGGGUUGUAAAGCUCUGUCUUCAGGGACGAUAAUGACGGUACCUGAGGAGGAAGCCACGGCUAACUACGUGCCAGCCGCCGCAGUAAAAC